CUGCCAUGUAAGAUAGGACUUUGCUUCUCAUUCGCCUUCUGCCAUGAUUGUGAGGCCUCCCCAGACAUGUGGAACUGAUGCUAUAUUGAAUUUUUGGAGAGAAAGUGAAACAUGUCUGGGUCUAAGCAAGAAGUGAAUAUCUGCUUGGAGAUUCUGUACAAGAUGGUGGGGCUAGAGAAGCAACCUAGAAAGCAGGUGGGUUGACUUGUUACCUGAAGUACUUCAUGAUUCCUAGCGAGGGGAGG
rnacentral:lncRNA from 10 species